CAUAAUGGCCGAAAAUCUAAGGUUUCUUGGGGAAGGUUCGUCCGCCCAAGGUAAGCCGGGAGCUAAGGCGAGGCCGAAAGGCGUAGUCGAUGCACAUACGGUUGAAAUUCCGUAGCCACCUUAUCGAUAAAAGCUGACACAUAGAGAUAGCCGGACCCGGGCGUUGGUUGACCAGGGCGAAAGGGACCGAACUACAGUAGGGAAGUCGGCGAUGCUCUGUGGCGAGAAAAGGCGAAGAUAGGGUGCCCGUACCGCAAACCGACACAGGUAGAUGAGGAGAGAAUCCUAAGGCCAACGGGAGAAAGGUUGUUAAGGAACUCGGCAAAAUUGCCCCGUAACUUCGGGAGAAGGGGCGCCCUCGAAAGAGGGCCGCAGUGAAAAGGCCCAAGCGACUGUUUACCAAAAACACAGGUCUCUGCUAAAUCGAAAGAUGACGUAUAGGGGCUGACGCCUGCCCGGUGCUGGAAGGUUAAGAGGAGGACUUAGCGCAAGCGAAGGUCUGAAUUUAAGCCCCAGUAAACGGCGGCCGUAACGAUAACGGUCCUAAGGUAGCGAAAUUCCUUGUCAGGUAAGUUCUGACCCGCACGAAUGGCGUAACGAUUUGGGCACUGUCUCAACAGCCUACCCGGCGAAAUUGUAGUACCGGUGAAGAUGCCGGUUACCCGCAACUAGACGGAAAGACCCCAUGGAGCUUUACUGCAGCUUAAUACUGAGAUUCGGUAAUUCAUGUACAGGAUAGGUGGGAGACUUAGAAACAGGGUCGUCAGGCACUGCGGAGUCACCCUUGGGAUACCACCCUUGGAUUGCUGGGUUUCUAACCUGCGGCCAUGAAUCUGGUCGGGGGACACUGUUAGGCGGGCAGUUUGACUGGGGCGGUCGCCUCCUAAAAAGUAGCGGAGGCGCUCAAAGCUUGGCUCAGCAUGGAUGGAAAUCAUGCAAUGAGUGUAAACGUAUAAGCCAAGUUGACUGCGAGACCGACGGGUCGAGCAGGUACGAAAGUAGGAGUUAGUGAUCCGGUGGUAUGUGAGUGGAAAUGCCAUCGCUCAACGGAUAAAAGCUACCCUGGAUAACAGGCUGAUCUCCCCCAAGCGUCCACAGCGACGGGGAGGUUUGGCACCUCGAUGUCGGCUCGUCGCAUCCUGGGGCUGUAUUCGGUCCCAAGGGUUUGGCUGUUCGCCAAUUAAAGCGGCACGCGAGCUGGGUUCAGAACGUCGUGAGACAGUUCGGUCCCUAUCUGUUGCGGGCGUAAGAGAUUUGAAGGGAGCUGUCCUUAGUACGAGAGGACCGGGAUGGACUGACCGCUGGUGCACCAGUUGUCCUGCCAAGGGCAUAGCUGGGUAGCUACGUCGGGACGAGAUAAACGCUGAAGGCAUCUAAGCGUGAAACUCCCCCUAAGAUAAGAUCUCUCAUCCUUUAUGGAGUAAGGCUCGUCGUAGACUAUGACGUUGAUAGGUCAGAGGUGGAAGCGCUGUAAGGCGUGUAGCUGACUGAUACUAAUAAGCCGAGGGCUUGACU
rnacentral:rRNA from 1 species